rnacentral:rRNA from 1 species
GUUUAUAUAUCAAUAUAAUUAAGGGAUACCUUGGUUUUAAGUAAAUAUAGGACGUAUUAAAUUGCGAAAAGUUAUUUUGAAUGAUUAUUUUGAUAAAUAAAUUUCCUUAACUCGAAAGAGUCUGAAAAUAAGAAAAUAACAAAAAUUACUGUUAUAUAAAAAUAUUGUGAAUUGAAACAUCUAAGUAACAAUAAAUGAAAUCAACCGAGUAUUUAUUAGUAGUGGUGAGCGAACGUAAGUAAAACUUCUAAUUAUUGUUGAGUUAAAAUAAGAACAUAGAGGGUUUAGAGUCCCGUAUUAUUUUGAUUCCAAUAAAAUUAAAGAGUAAAACGAAAUAUGUGUUGUUUUGUUUGAAUAUAAGGGAACCUUCCUUUAAGUUAAAAAUUACUUAAAAACCGAUAGUGAACAAGUAUCGUGAGAGAAAGGUGAAAAAGAACCCCAGAUGAAGCGGAGUGAAAAGAUUUGAAAUUAAUUAUAUUUUAGCAGUUUUAAAAAAAUAAAACGUACCUUUUGUAUAAUGGGCCAAUGAGUUAAUUUACUAAGCAAGCUUUAUAGGCGUAAUUGAAAGUGAUUUUAAAAAAAAUAUUAAGUUUAGUGAAUUAUACCCGAAACUAGGUGAUCUAAUCAUGAUCAGGUUGAAUUAUUGAUAAAACAAUAAGGAGGACCGAACUUGUGUCUGUGGCAAAAGACUAAGAUGAAUUGUGAUUAGGAGUGAAAGGCUAAUCAAACCUAGUGAUAGCUGGUUUUCUGCGAAAUCUAUUUAAGUAGAGCGUAAAGUUAAUUAAAUAUCAGGUAAAGCACUGACAGAAUGAUGGGGGUUUUAAACCUUACUGAUUUUAUCCAAACUAAGAAUGGGUAUUUAAGUUACUUUGCAGACAGACUAUAGGUGAUAAGAUCUAUGGUCAAAAGGGCAACAGCCCAGAUUAUUUUUUAAGGUUUCUAAAUUUUAAUAAGUGAAUAAGGGAGUUAUAUUACUAUGAAAUUAAAAAGGUCGCAUUAGCAGCAUGCAUCCUUUAAAGAAUGCGUAACAGCUCAUUUAUUGAGUUUUAAGCACCGAAGAUGUAAUGAAGCUUAAUUAAAAUACCGAAAGAAUAAACUUUUUUAAAAGUGGUAGCAGAACGUUUUGUAUGUUGAUGAAGUAAAGCUAAAAAGUUUUAUGGAGAUAUCAAAAGUGAAUAUAUUGGCAUGAGUAGUUAUAAAUAAAGUAAAUGCAAAAACUUUAUGGCCGUAAACCCAAGGUUAAAAUGACACUGUUAAUCAAUCAUUAAAAAAUCGAUCCCUAAGGUCAAAGUGAAUACUGUAGCCGAUGGGUUAAUUAUAUUUGACUGAUUUGAUUAAAACUCUCCCGGAUUUGUGUCGGGCAGUUUUAAUAAGUUACAAGAAAAAGAAUAUAAUGAAAAAAUCGUUCUAAAACCAACACAGGUGGGUAGGUGUGAAUGCACUAAGGCGCUGGAAUAAUUAUAUUGAAGGAACUCGGCAAAAUGACCCUGUAACUUCGGGAUAAGGGGGACUUUUUUUAGAUGAAAGAAAAAAGUGGCACAGAAUUUAAGAGUGGCGACUGUUUAGUAAAAACACAGGUCUCUGCUAAAUCGUAAGAUGAUGUAUAGGGACUGACGCCUGUCCGGUGCGGUAAUGUUAAAAGGAAAGGUUAAUGCUUUGAAUUGAUGCACCCGUAAACGACUGCUGUAACUCUGACGGUACUAAGGUAGCGAAAUGCCUUGCCAGGUAAUUUCUGGCUUGCAUGAAUGGCGUAACGACUGCUCUACUGUCUCCAAUAUAAUUCCAAUGAAAUUGAAUUCUCCGUGAAGAUGCGGAGUAAUUGUAGAAAGACGAAAAGACCCUAUGAACCUUUACUAUACGGUUAUAUUGUUUUUAGAAAAUAAAUGCGUAGGAUAGGUGGGAGUAUAUGAAGAAAAAAUUCCGGUUUUUUUGGAUACAUCCUUGAAAUACCACCCUUUUAUUUUUCUUAGACUAACUUUAAAUAGCCAAUCUAUUUAAAAGACAGUGUAUCCUUGGUAGUUUGAGUGGGGCGCUCUUCUCAUAAAGAGUAACUGAGAAGUACAUAAGGUAAGUUCAAGAUAAUAUUUGUAUUAUUUUUUGAGUGUAAUGGCAAAAACUUGCUUAACUGUAAGACAGACAUGUCGAGCAGGAACAUUUUUGUUGGUCAUAGUGAUCCGGUAGUUGUGAAAGGAAUAACUAUCGCUCAACGGAUAAAAGGUACUCUAGGGAUAACAGGCUAAUGGUUCUUGAGAGCUCGUAUUGACGGGACCGUUUGGCACCUCGAUGUCGACUCGUUUCAUCCUGGAGGUGUAGCAGCUUCCAAGGGUUUGGUUGUUCGCCAAUUAAAGAAGUACGUGAGUUGGGUUUAGAACGUCGUGAGACAGUUUGGUUUCUAUCUUCUAUAAUCGUUUUGAAAAUUGAAAAAAGUCUAAAAUAGUACGAAAGGACCUUUUAGAAUAAACCAAUGGUGUAUCAGUUGUUUAAUUAGUAAGCAUCGCUGAGUAGCUACGUUUAUAAAGGAUAAUUGCUGAAAUCAUCAUGCAAGAAGCCUCUUUUGAGAUAAAUUUUCUUACAAACAUAAAAGACUAUUAUGUUUUAGCUUUUAAAUGUAAGUAUAGUGAUAUAUUUAGUUUAAAAAGACUAAUAAAAUUAAGAUAUUGUGAAG